rnacentral:rRNA from 3 species
CACAGGUUUGGUCCCAGCCUUCCGACCC